CUGGGCGUAAAGCGUAUGUAGGCGGUUUUGUAAGACAGGCGUGAAAUCCCAGGGCUUAACCUUUGAACUGCAUUUGUGACUGCACGGCUAGAGUGUGUCAGAGGGGGGUAGAAUUCCACGUGUAGCAGUGAAAUGCGUAGAUAUGUGGAGGAAUACCGAUGGCGAAGGCAGCCCCCUGGGAUAACACUGACGCUCAUGCACGAAAGCGUGGGGAGCAAA
rnacentral:rRNA from 1 species